UGAGAUUAUAAUUGAUGGUGUAUACUCAA
rnacentral:piRNA from 1 species